rnacentral:rRNA from 1 species
ACUCCUACGGGAGGCAGCAGUGAGGAAUAUUGGUCAAUGGGCGAGAGCCUGAACCAGCCAAGUAGCGUGCAGGAUGACGGCCCUAUGGGUUGUAAACUGCUUUUGUAUGGGGAUAAAGUUAGGGACGUGUCCCUAUUUGCAGGUACCAUACGAAUAAGGACCGGCUAAUUCCGUGCCAGCAGCCGCGGUAAUACGGAAGGUCCAGGCGUUAUCCGGAUUUAUUGGGUUUAAAGGGAGCGUAGGCUGGAGAUUAAGUGUGUUGUGAAAUGUAGACGCUCAACGUCUGACUUGCAGCGCAUACUGGUUUCCUUGAGUACGCACAACGUUGGCGGAAUUCGUCGUGUAGCGGUGAAAUGCUUAGAUAUGACGAAGAACUCCGAUUGCGAAGGCAGCUGACGGGAGCGCAACUGACGCUUAAGCUCGAAGGUGCGGGUAUCAAACAGGAUUAGAUACCCUGGUAGUCCGCACAGUAAACGAUGGAUGCCCGCUGUUGGUACCUGGUAUCAGCGGCUAAGCGAAAGCAUUAAGCAUCCCACCUGGGGAGUACGCCGGCAACGGUGAAACUCAAAGGAAUUGACGGGGGCCCGCACAAGCGGAGGAACAUGUGGUUUAAUUCGAUGAUACGCGAGGAACCUUACCCGGGCUUGAAUUGCAGAGGAAGGAUUUAGAGAUAAUGACGCCCUUCGGGGUCUCUGUGAAGGUGCUGCAUGGUUGUCGUCAGCUCGUGCCGUGAGGUGUCGGCUUAAGUGCCAUAACGAGCGCAACCCCUGUCUUUAGUUGCCAUCAGGUGAUGCUGGGCACUCUGGAGAUACUGCCACCGUAAGGUGUGAGGAAGGUGGGGAUGACGUCAAAUCAGCACGGCCCUUACGUCCGGGGCUACACACGUGUUACAAUGGCCGGUACAGAGGGACGGUGUAAUGCAAAUUGCAUCAAAUCUUGAAAGCCGGUCCCAGUUCGGACUGGGGUCUGCAACCCGACCCCACGAAGCUGGAUUCGCUAGUAAUCGCGCAUCAGCCAUGGCGCGGUGAAUACGUUCCCGGGCCUUGUACACACCGCCCGUCAAGCCAUGAAAGCCGGGGGUGCCUGAAGUCCGUGACCGCAAGGAUCGGCCUAGGGCAAAACUGGUGAUUGGGGCUAAGUCGUAACAAGGUAGCCGUACCGGAAGGUGCGGCUG